UAAAUGGCUGGGAAGGGUUCAAUGCAACGCGAUGUCAGAGGCAUCCUUGCAGACGUUCCUUCUCAAAAGCACCAACCCUAGCUGGCCAUAGGACAAUGUCUUCCCUGUACGGACUUAUCAUUUUUGUGUCCGUCAUUGCGGCCGCGUUUUCAGCACAAAUGGCUUGCAACCUUGCUAAAGAAGCCGUGAACCAAGCCUGUCAGGCGUUGGGGCGGGAGGAGGAAGCUGCCCUCAAGCAAAUUCAGUGAGGAAAUACUCAAAAGCGGCACCAGUCCGGAAGACUUCUAGCUGAAUGUCGUUUGAAUAAACGAAGGUGCUGU
rnacentral:lncRNA from 1 species